UCUUUGGUUUUCUAGCUGUAUGAU
rnacentral:miRNA from 1 species